GAUCAGCAUAGCAAAUGCAGGUACACAGAACUAACUGCCGUAGGAUCAGUAUAGCAAAUGCAGGUACACAGAACUAACUGCCGUAGGAUCAGCAUAGCAAAUGCAGGUACACAGAGCUAACUGCCGUAGGAUCAGCAUAGCAAAUGCAGGUACACAGAGCUAACUGCCGUAGGAUCAGCAUAGCAAAUGCAGGUACACAGAGC